UGCUUGAGGGAGUCAUGGGAAGCUGCUUUUAUGAUGCAGUACCUUCAAAAGCCAUGGAGUUAUUCGGUUUGAGGGUCAUUUUGGAGUGUAAGAGCAUCCGUAUGGCAUCUCUCACUGAUCUGAAACUCUUCAAUUUGGGUAGAUUGGCUGGCCAACAAAUCCUAAGGACCCUCCUGUCUCUGCCUCCCCAACACUGAUAUUACAGCAGUUAAGACACUGUGGUUUCAGAGUUCAUCUGUCUAACCCGAAGCU